AGAUUAAGUUAUUAAGGGCGCACGGUGGAUACCUUGGCACUAGAAGCCUAUGAAGGACGUUACUAACGACGAUAUGCUUUGGGGAGCUGUAAGUAAGCUUUGAUCCAGAGAUUUCCGAAUGGGGAAACCCAGCACGAGUUAUGUCGUGUUAUCGAUAUGUGAAUACAUAGCAUAUUCGAAGGCAGACGCGGAGAACUGAAACAUCUUAGUACCCGCAGGAAGAGAAAGAAAAAUCGAUUCCCUGAGUAGCGGCGAGCGAAACGGGAAGAGCCCAAACCAACGAGCUUGCUUGUUGGGGUUGUAGGACACUCUAUACGGAGUUACAAAAGAACAAAUUAGACGAAUCAUCUGGAAAGAUGAAUCAAAGAAGGUAAUAAUCCUGUAGUCGAAAGUUUGUUCACUCUUGAGUGGAUCCUGAGUACGGCGGAACACGAGAAAUUCCGUCGGAAUCCGGGAGGACCAUCUCCCAAGGCUAAAUACUCUCUAGUGACCGAUAGUGAACCAGUACCGUGAGGGAAAGGUGAAAAGUACCCCGGAAGGGGAGUGAAAUAGAACUUGAAACCGUGUGCUUACAAGUAGUCAGAGCCCGUUAAUGGGUGAUGGCGUGCCUUUUGUAGAAUGAACCGGCGAGUUACGAUUUGAUGCAAGGUUAAGCAGUAAAUGUGGAGCCGUAGCGAAAGCGAGUCUGAAUAGGGCGUUGAGUAUUUGGUCGUAGACCCGAAACCAGGUGAUCUACCCAUGACCAGGCUGAAGUUCAGGUAACACUGAAUGGAGGGCCGAACCGACUUACGUUGAAAAGUGAGCGGAUGAGUUGUGGGUAGCGGAGAAAUUCCAAUCGAACCUGGAGAUAGCUGGUUCUCUCCGAAAUAGCUUUAGGGCUAGCCUCAAGUGAUGAUUAUUGGAGGUAGAGCACUGUUUGGACGAGGGGCCCUUAUCGGGUUACCGAAUUCAGACAAACUCCGAAUGCCAAUCAAUUUAACUUGGGAGUCAGAACGCGGGUGAUAAGGUCCGUGUUCGAGAGGGAAACAGCCCAGACCACCAGCUAAGGUCCCAAAAUAUAUGUUAAGUGGAAAAGGAUGUGGCGUUGCCCAGACAACUAGGAUGUUGGCUUAGAAGCAGCCAUCAUUUAAAGAGUGCGUAAUAGCUCACUAGUCGAGUGACACUGCGCCGAAAAUGUACCGGGGCUAAACAUAUUACCGAAGCUGUGGAUUGUCCGUAGGACAAUGGUAGGAGAGCGUUCUAAGGGCGUUGAAGCAUGAUCGCAAGGACAUGUGGAGCGCUUAGAAGUGAGAAUGCCGGUGUGAGUAGCGAAAGACGGGUGAGAAUCCCGUCCACCGAUUGACUAAGGU
rnacentral:rRNA from 1 species